rnacentral:rRNA from 1 species
AGUGAACGCUGGCGGUAGGCCUAACACAUGCAAGUCGAACGGCAGCACAGUAAGAGCUUGCUCUUACGGGUGGCGAGUGGCGGACGGGUGAGGAAUACAUCGGAAUCUACUUUUUCGUGGGGGAUAACGUAGGGAAACUUACGCUAAUACCGCAUACGACCUACGGGUGAAAGCAGGGGAUCUUCGGACCUUGCGCGAUUGAAUGAGCCGAUGUCGGAUUAGCUAGUUGGCGGGGUAAAGGCCCACCAAGGCGACGAUCCGUAGCUGGUCUGAGAGGAUGAUCAGCCACACUGGAACUGAGACACGGUCCAGACUCCUACGGGAGGCAGCAGUGGGGAAUAUUAGACAAUGGGCGCAAGCCUGAUCCAGCCAUACCGCGUGGGUGAAGAAGGCCUUCGGGUUGUAAAGCCCUUUUGUUGGGAAAGAAAGGCAGCAGGUUAAUACCCCGCUGUUCUGACGGUACCCAAAGAAUAAGCACCGGCUAACUUCGUG